rnacentral:rRNA from 1 species
AUUGAACGCUGGCGGCAGGCCUAACACAUGCAAGUCGAGCGGUAGCACAGAGAGCUUGCUCUCGGGUGACGAGCGGCGGACGGGUGAGUAAUGUCUGGGAAACUGCCUGAUGGAGGGGGAUAACUACUGGAAACGGUAGCUAAUACCGCAUAACGUCGCAAGACCAAAGUGGGGGACCUUCGGGCCUCAUGCCAUCAGAUGUGCCCAGAUGGGAUUAGCUAGUAGGUGGGGUAACGGCUCACCUAGGCGACGAUCCCUAGCUGGUCUGAGAGGAUGACCAGCCACACUGGAACUGAGACACGGUCCAGACUCCUACGGGAGGCAGCAGUGGGGAAUAUUGCACAAUGGGCGCAAGCCUGAUGCAGCCAUGCCGCGUGUGUGAAGAAGGCCUUCGGGUUGUAAAGCACUUUCAGCGGGGAGGAAGGCGGUGAGGUUAAUAACCUCAUCGAUUGACGUUACCCGCAGAAGAAGCACCGGCUAACUCCGUGCCAGCAGCCGCGGUAAUACGGAGGGUGCAAGCGUUAAUCGGAAUUACUGGGCGUAAAGCGCACGCAGGCGGUCUGUCAAGUCGGAUGUGAAAUCCCCGGGCUUAACCUGGGAACUGCAUUCGAAACUGGCAGGCUAGAGUCUUGUAGAGGGGGGUAGAAUUCCAGGUGUAGCGGUGAAAUGCGUAGAGAUCUGGAGGAAUACCGGUGGCGAAGGCGGCCCCCUGGACAAAGACUGACGCUCAGGUGCGAAAGCGUGGGGAGCAAACAGGAUUAGAUACCCUGGUAGUCCACGCCGUAAACGAUGUCGAUUUGGAGGUUGUGCCCUUGAGGCGUGGCUUCCGGAGCUAACGCGUUAAAUCGACCGCCUGGGGAGUACGGCCGCAAGGUUAAAACUCAAAUGAAUUGACGGGGGCCCGCACAAGCGGUGGAGCAUGUGGUUUAAUUCGAUGCAACGCGAAGAACCUUACCUGGUCUUGACAUCCACAGAACUUUCCAGAGAUGGAUUGGUGCCUUCGGGAACUGUGAGACAGGUGCUGCAUGGCUGUCGUCAGCUCGUGUUGUGAAAUGUUGGGUUAAGUCCCGCAACGAGCGCAACCCUUAUCCUUUGUUGCCAGCGGUCCGGCCGGGAACUCAAAGGAGACUGCCAGUGAUAAACUGGAGGAAGGUGGGGAUGACGUCAAGUCAUCAUGGCCCUUACGACCAGGGCUACACACGUGCUACAAUGGCAUAUACAAAGAGAAGCGACCUCGCGAGAGCAAGCGGACCUCAUAAAGUAUGUCGUAGUCCGGAUUGGAGUCUGCAACUCGACUCCAUGAAGUCGGAAUCGCUAGUAAUCGUAGAUCAGAAUGCUACGGUGAAUACGUUCCCGGGCCUUGUACACACCGCCCGUCACACCAUGGGAGUGGGUUGCAAAAGAAGUAGGUAGCUUAACCUUCGGGAGGGCGCUUACCACUUUGUGAUUCAUGACUGGGGUG